UCUACGAAGAGUUUGAUCCUGGCUCAGAUCGAACGCUGGCGGCAUGGCUAAGACAUGCAAGUCGUACGGACCGCUUUUGCUUGCAUUGGCGGUCAGUGGCGAAAGGGAGCGUAAUGCAUGGGCAACGUACCCUUGACUCGGGAACAACCACGGGCUUCGGCCCUUUGCGAAAGUGUGGCUAAUACCCGAUGAAGUCGCGAGAUCGAAUGGUUUUGCGACCAAAGGUGGGGAUCUUCGGACCUGCCGGUCAUGGAGCGGCCCAUGUCCUAUCAGCUUGUUGGUGGGGUAACGGCCUACCAAGGCGACGACGGGUAGCGGGCGUGAGAGCGUGGCCCGCCUCAUCGGAACUGAGACACUGUCCGGACACCUACGGGUGGCUGCAGUAACGAAUAUUGGGCAAUGGGCGAAAGCCUGACCCAGCAAUGCCGCGUGCAGGAGGAAGUCCUUCGGGAUGUAAACUGCUGUCAGGGACUAGAAAGAUCUGAUCGGUCCCAGAGGAAGCCCCGGCUAACUACGUGCCAGCAGCCGCGGUAAUACGUAGGGGGCGAGCGUUGAUCGGAAUCACUGGGCUUAAAGAGCGUGUAGGCA
rnacentral:rRNA from 1 species